CCCACCCCCCGCGCGCACGCCACAGCCAGCUCUCCUCCCUGCCGGAUCGGCCUGGGGGCAGGGGUCCGGCGUGCGAGCUGCAGACAAGCAUGGGAACGCGGACCCCGAUCCUGCACCGCGGAGCUGCAGCCUCCCGGCCGCCCGCCCUCCUCGCCGGCCCAGGGGCCAGGGCUAGGCGCGAGGAGUCCCCGGGGGCACGACGCACUCACCAUAGCCGGCCUCAGCCCCUGGCCGGAGCGCAGCAGCUGCCGAUGGCGCAGACGCUGGCCGUGAGGACAUACCCAGAGGAAUAAUUCCCAAAGUGAAGAUUUCAGAGGGGAGGCCAGAUGGAGACUGAAGACAUCAGAGAAGAAAGGCUUUUGAAGCAGGAAAUGAACCACUGAUCGACCAGAAGAUGCAUUGAAAGACUGAAGGAAAUUGCUUAGACAACAAGGACAAAAAGAAGGAAAACAAGAUUGCCAACUGACAAAGCCAUGGUGUGGUGUGAAUAGAAAAUCUAAGACAAGUAGCUUGGAAAGGAGGGAGUGGAGAGAAUCCUGGGGUCACAUAAAGCGAAGGCUCCAUGGAACCUCGAUGCUGAAGAGGAGGAAGGCAUUUGCAGUAGGCGAAAGAAUCCCGCGGUAAUUUCAAAGCAAGAAGAAGCCAGUGGGGCUAGAAAUGUGACUCAGUGGAUGGGUGCUUGCCUAGCAUGAACAAAGCCUGACUCCGAUCUGCACACAGUACAGCAUCAACUGAGCCUAGUGGCAUAUGCCUGUAACUCCAGCAUGAGGCUGAAGGCCUGUCCCACCAUCUCCUAGAAAACCAUACACACUUUCGAAAAGCUAAUACAUUCUCUAGGAAUGCUGGUUAUUAAAAAAAAAAAAAAAGGCUCCGGGCACCCAGCACAACAUUUUAAACCCCAAAAUUACAUAUGUAUAUAUACACACAUAUAUAUGCGAAAAUUAAUUAUUCACCAUCACCCUCCCCAUCCAAGUUCUGUAGAAUCAUAAUUUCAGACAUGGGCAUAAAUAUUUUUCUUGGUUUUGAUUUUUGAUUUUCGAGACAGGGUUUUCUCUGUAUUGCUUUGGAGGAGGUGGUCCUGGAACUCACUUUGUAGACCAGGCUGGCCUCGAACUCACAGAGAU